rnacentral:rRNA from 1 species
AUUGAACGCUGGCGGCAGGCCUAACACAUGCAAGUCGAGCGGAUGAAGGGAGCUUGCUCCUGGAUUCAGCGGCGGACGGGUAAGUAAUGCCUAGGAAUCUGCCUGGUAGUGGGGGAUAACGUCCGGAAACGGGCGCUAAUACCGCAUACGUCCUGAGGGAGAAAGUGGGGGAUCUUCGGACCUCACGCUAUCAGAUGAGCCUAGGUCGGAUUAGCUAGUUGGUGGGGUAAAGGCCUACCAAGGCGACGAUCCGUAACUGGUCUGAGAGGAUGAUCAGUCACACUGGAACUGAGACACGGUCCAGACUCCUACGGGAGGCAGCAGUGGGGAAUAUUGGACAAUGGGCGAAAGCCUGAUCCAGCCAUGCCGCGUGUGUGAAGAAGGUCUUCGGAUUGUAAAGCACUUUAAGUUGGGAGGAAGGGCAGUAAGUUAAUACCUUGCUGCUUUGACGUUACCAACAGAAUAAGCACCGGCUAACUUCGUG